GUAUAUCUGUACCUACGAAAAGCAAACCAGCAGACACGUAUCAGUGCUUCAAUAGGUAAAGAGACCUGGAGUAACUACAGAGCGCAGUAUUUCAUUUUCACACAUUUUUCCACCUUACGCUCAGUUUCCAGCCAUCAUCCCUCCUCUUCCUUCCGAUUCUCAUCUCCCGUGCCAAAAAGCAGUACAUUUCUCCCGCACUUGUUCCCAGCCCUCUCGCACAAUGACACAGCACUUCCAGCACGAUGUGCCCAGCGCCGUGACACCGGCACAGAGCCGGCCACGGGCACCACGACCGCGCUCGAUCGCGGCUCUGACGGCGCUGCCGCCCCUGCCCGGGCGGGGGCUGGGCAGGGACCCGCGAGGCACCGGGGAAGCUUCCGCGGGUCUCAGCCGGGCCCUGCGGAGCAGCACAGCGGUGUCGCGGGGAGUCGCGGGGCCCCGCGGGCAGGGCCAGCGCACAGGGCGCCCCAGUCCCGCCGCCGCUCCCGCCCGCCGCGUCCCGCCCGCCCCGGCCGGCCCAGGCCGCGGCGGUCCCGCCUGCAGGCCGCGGCCUGGCGUGCCCUGACGUCCCGUCCCGUGCCGCCCCCGCCCGGCACCUUCAGCCGGGAACUCCUCAAACUCGUCGUCCUCCUCCAGGAGUCCCAGGUCCACCGGCUGCUUCUUCUCCGACAUGCUGGGCCCGCACCGCGUCCCACCGCCCUCGCGCCUGCUGGGAUCCCGCGGCCACCGCCGCGCCUGCGCCGCUGCCGGGCCCGGCUCCGGCCCGCGCCUGCGCCCUGCCGUCCCGGCUGCUGCCGGCCCCGCCCGCCGCCGCCGGGCCCUCACCGAGCGGGCCGGGGUUCCGGUGGCCGCGGGACGUGCCGGCUCUGCCUGUGCUGCUGUUUGAGCAGCGGGAUCGUUCCUGCACCGCCUGACCGAUCUGCACAGACCGCUACCGAGCGCGGCUGUUCCCUAUCGUUAUCGCUGUGGUACUUCAGUAAAUGUCUGUUGUGACAUUGCAGUCCUGCCAGGCUUCUAGCAUAUAAGGAUACAUACAGUACAUCUGAGUCGAGGGCCAGAGGAGACCUUUGCCAUCAUCUGAUGUGAUGCCCUGCAGAACGCCAAGCCAAGGAGCUUUCCUGCCAGGAAACCGCCUGGCAACCAUACAAGCCACGUCUUGGACAGCGCAUGGCAUGAAGGAGACUAGCUUGGAAACUGGUGUUGGCAGACGAGGUAGCAACAUCUGCAGGAGCUGCUUGUCCACAGGGGGUAGCUGUACCUCAGGAGUCUCUUGGGGCCAUGGGAGAGUGACCUCCCUGCAGGCAGGUGCUGCAGGCACCAGUGGUGGAGCCAUGAGAGAGCUCGGCAGCAAGACUGGGGCUGGCUCCGCACUCAAAGGUGUACAGGGCCCCUCUGACUGCACAGAACCUUUGCCUGUGCUUUUCCUGCUACAAAACCACAUCUGGAGGCAGGGCCUGGGCUGGGCUCUAUUCCCAGGACCUCCAUCUCAUGCCAGGAAUCCCAUCCUGCACCGAGGAACGUCCUAGUUGGGAAUACAACCAUAUGAGCAGGCAGGGCUGGAGAGGUGGGGUGCUGACAGAAAGGAGCAGUGAUUUCAAAAUACAGUUUUUAAAAAAAAUUGUCAAAGCUCUGCAACACUGAGGAUUAAGCACACUGAAUAAGCUUCCUACAAUAGCAGUGUGUUAGAUUGGGUGGAAAAGUCCAAUGGAGAAGCAUCCAGGAAACAUCUUUCAUGCCUGCACAUUAAAUUUAAUCUUCCACCCCCAUCUUUUAAGACUUGGCAUUCAUCUACUAAAAAAAGACGUUGAUCUGAAAGAAAAAGAGAGGGAAAAGAACCCAGUCUGCUAUAACAGUUUGCUUGGCAAAAUGGGAGAGACUUGAGGAAUGAAUUGUGUGUGAGUUACAAAGAGCCAUCCUGCGCUGUAGACACUGGGCCUGUAUUUGUCACUCUCACCCCCAGCCCAGCACUGUCCCAUUGGCCUCUUCAUUCAGCACAGCUAUCUGUCAUGAAGAAUUUAAGUUUCAUAUUUUCAUCUGUCAGUUGUGAAAAGGCCUGUCAGCUGAAGCUUACACUACCAUUUGCUAAAAGGCCUAUAGCCCAUGCUGACAAUACACUCUUAUAUUUGUGCUUCCAGGCUCCAGAUAAUCCCCUCACUUUCCUCCUCAGCAGUCCAGUUAUGAUGAGGCUUAAAUUGCAUAUUUUGGGGGGUUUUAAAUCCAGAUUUUGCUGAUAAAUGCUAUCAGCAGGAAUGAAAUGAAAUACAGCACAGUUUAGCUCUUAUUACCAGCAUUUUGUGAGACAGUAUUCAUAUUAAACAGGUUAAUGUCUAUAAUGUCUAUAGUCACAGGAACUAAAUGUAGGAAUGCUAAUAUCAGCUUUUAUCUACUUUGUCUGUUUGCCAUCCCUGAAAAAAAAUACUCAUCCUUCAAACAUGGAAUUUCCCAGUUUGUGUCCUUAAUGUCUUUAAUUUUAUUUGCAAAGGGAAAUAAUAUAGCCAGCUCAUUACAAAUCCACAGGCAAUUGUUUUAUGCUCCGAGAUACCACCAGAUUACCCAUAAAAUGCCACAGAAGGAAGAAAGUGUCUAAAUCCCCAAAGCAUACUUUCAAACUCCAACACUUUUCCUGUAACACUGUUAACAAAAUUACCAAAAUAAAAAACUGGUCACCAACCCA
rnacentral:lncRNA from 1 species